CCUACGGGAGGCAGCAGUGAGGAAUAUUGGUCAAUGGGCGCGAGCCUGAACCAGCCAAGUAGCGUGAAGGAUGACUGCCCUACGGGUUGUAAACUUCUUUUAUAAAGGACUAAAGUGAGGCACGUGUGCCUUUUUGUAUGUACUUUAUGAAUAAGGAUCGGCUAACUCCGUGCCAGCAGCCGCGGUAAUACGGAGGAUCCGAGCGUUAUCCGGCUUUAUUCGGUUUAAAGGUAGCGUAGAUGGGUGGUUAAGUCAGUUGUGAAAGUUUGCGGAUCAACCGUAAAAUUGCAAUUGAUACUGGCAGCCUUGAGUACAGUUGAGGUAGGCGGAAUUCGUGGUGUAGCGGUGAAAUGCUUAGAUAUCACGAAGAACUCCGAUUGCGAAGGCAGCCUACUAAACUGCCACUGACAUUGAUGCUCGAAAGUGUGGGUAUCAAACAGGAUUAGAUACCCCUGUAGUC
rnacentral:rRNA from 1 species